AUAUUCACCUCAGCAAUACAAUUUCUCAAACUGGAUUGGUACAAAGUGGAUUAGCAUUGACCCUCCAGAAGGAUGACACACCAAUUUAUGAAGAAUUCUGUAUGUUU